GGUUAAGCGACCAAGCGUACACGGUGGAUGCCCUGGCAGUCAGAGGCGAUGAAGGACGUGCUAAUCUGCGAAAAGCGCCGGUAAGGUGAUAUGAACCGUUAUAACCGGCGAUGUCCGAAUGGGGAAACCCAGUGUGAUUCGUCACACUAUCAUUAACUGAAUCCAUAGGUUAAUGAGGCGAACCGGGGGAACUGAAACAUCUAAGUACCCCGAGGAAAAGAAAUCAACCGAGAUUCCCCCAGUAGCGGCGAGCGAACGGGGAGGAGCCCAGAGCCUGAAUCAGCAUGUGUGUU
rnacentral:rRNA from 1 species